GAUGAACGCUAGCGACAGGCCUAACACAUGCAAGUCGAGCGGGAUUCACCUUUCGGGGUGAUGAGAGCGGCGCACGGGUGAGUAACGCGUAUGUAACCUGCCUGCAACAGGGGGAUAGCUUCCGGAAACGGAAAUUAACACCGCAUAAGACCACGUUGAAGCAUUUCAGAGUGGUAAAAUAUUAAUAGGUUGCAGAUGGGCAUGCGUGACAUUAGGUAGUUGGUAGGGUAACGGCCUACCAAGCCGACGAUGUCUAGGGGGUUCUGAGAGGAAGGUCCCCCA
rnacentral:rRNA from 1 species